CGAACGCUGGCGGCGUGCCUAACACAUGCAAGUCGAACGAGAAAGGUCCCUUCGGGGACCCGGUACAGUGGCGCACGGGUGAGUAACACGUGGGUAAUCUGCCCUCGAGUGGGGAAUAACCCAGGGAAACUUGGGCUAAUACCGCAUAACAUCCCGACCUCCUUGGAGGAUGGGAUCAAAGCCGGGGAUCGCAAGACCUGGUGCUUGAGGAGGAGCCUGCGCCUGAUUAGCUUGUUGGUGGGGUAAUGGCCUACCAAGGCUUCGAUCAGUAGCCGGCCUGAGAGGGUGAUCGGCCACACUGGAACUGAGACACGGUCCAGACUCCUACGGGAGGCAGCAGUGAGGAAUUUUGCGCAAUGGGCGAAAGCCUGACGCAGCAACGCCGCGUGGAUGAUGAAGGCCUUCGGGUCGUAAAAUCCUGUCAAGUGGGAAGAAAUCCCCUCCGUGAAUAGCGGUAGGGGAGUGACUGUACCACUGGAGGAAGCCCCGGCUAACUCC
rnacentral:rRNA from 1 species